rnacentral:rRNA from 1 species
GAGUUUGAUCAUGGCUCAGAACGAACGUUAGCGGUGUGGAUUAGGCAUGCAAGUCGUGCGCGAAAGCCCCCUUCGGGGGGCGAGUAAAGCGGCGAAAGGGUGAGUAAUACAUAACCAACCUACCCCUCAGAUCGGAAUAACAGGUGGAAACGCCUGCUAAUGCCGAAUGGUCCAGACAGGAGGCAUCUCCUGUCUGGUAAACGGUGGCUUCGGCUGUUGCUGGGGGAGGGGGUUAUGCGCUAUCAGCUUGUUGGUGAGGUAAUGGCUCACCAAGGCUAUGACGGCUAGCCGGUCUGAGAGGAUGGUCGGCCACACUGGGACUGAGACACUGCCCAGACUCCUACGGGAGGCUGCAGUCGAGAAUCUUCCGCAAUGGGCGAAAGCCUGACGGAGCGACACCGCGUACAGGAUGACGGCCUUAGGGUUGUAAACUGUUGUCACGCUAUAGGAAUGGCCAGGCGUUAAUAGCGUUUGGUUUGACUAAAGCGAGAGGAAGCACCGGCUAACUCUGUGCCAGCAGCCGCGGUAAGACAGAGGGUGCAAACGUUGUUCGGAAUCACUGGGCAUAAAGCGCACGUAGGCGGCACGGUAAGUCAGAUGUGAAAGCCCCCGGCUCAACCGGGGAACUGCAUUUGAAACUGCCGAGCUAGAGGACGGUAGGGGUGAGUGGAACUCCAGGUGGAGCGGUGAAAUGCGUAGAUAUCUGGAGGAACACCGGUGGCGAAAGCGGCUCACUGGACCGUAUCUGACGCUGAGGUGCGAAAGCUAGGGUAGCAAACGGGAUUAGAUACCCCGGUAGUCCUAGCCGUAAACGAUGGGCACUGGGUAGGGGAGGCACCUAUGGUCUUCUCUGCCGAAGCUAAUGUAUUAAGUGCCCCGCCUGGGGAGUACGCUCGCAAGAGUAAAACUCAAAGGAAUUGACGGGGGCUCACACAAGCGGUGGAGCAUGUGGUUUAAUUCGAAGCAACGCGAAGAACCUUACCUGGCCUUGACAUGCAUGGAUUAGCCCUGUGAAAGCAGGGUGACAGCUCUUCGGAGUCGUAACAAGGUAGCC